UUGGAAGUAAAAGUUGUUAACAAGGUUUU
rnacentral:rRNA from 1 species